rnacentral:misc_RNA from 1 species
GAAAUGCGAUAAGUAGUGUGAAUUGCAGAAUUCAGUGAAUCAUCGAAUCUUUGAACGCACAUUGCGCCCCUUGGUAUUCCAUGGGGCAUGCCUGUUCGAGCGUCAUUUGUACCUUCAAGCUUUGCUUGGUGUUGGGCGUCUUUAUCCCGCGUUUGUGCGUGGACUCGCCUGAAAGCAAUUGGCAGCCGGCAUAUUGGCCUGGGAGCGCAGCACAUUUUGCGAUUCUAGUCAUGAAUGUUGGCAUCCAGUAAGCAACUAUUUUUUUGCUCUUGACCUCGGAUCAGGUAGGGAUACCCGCUGAACUUAAGC